CGAGCGCAACCCUUGUCCUUAGUUACCAGCACGUUAUGUGGGCACUCUAAGGAGGACUGCCGGUGACAAACCGGAGGAAGGUAGGGGAUGACGUCAAGUCAUCAUGGCCCUUACGGCCUGGGCUACACACGUGCUACAAUGGUCGGUACAAAGGGUUGCCAAGCCGCGAGGUGGAGCUAAUCCCAUAAAACCGAUCGUAGUCCGGAUCGCAGUCUGCAACUCGACCGCGUGAAGUCGGAAUCGCUAGUAAUCGUGAAUCAGAAUGUCACGGUGAAUACGUUCCCGGGCCUU
rnacentral:rRNA from 1 species